ensembl:lncRNA
ACCCGACCGCUUCAUAUCGCCGACAUUAUGCGUCAUUAUGCGUCCACGGAGCACCGACUCUGAUCGCUCCGUUAGUCUCCAUUCAUCCGCUUCCCCGUGCUGGGCACCUCCCUGCAUGUGUGCUCGGGUAAGACAAUAAAAACUAAAAGUUGUCGGCAUACCUGUGUACUGCACCAGGAACAUGGUCCGGAGCGGAGGAAACCGAGCGCGCGCUAAAGUCCCGGCGGUGUUUUCGGCACUUUGAUCGGUCCUGAUCUCCUGGUUAAAUCGCUCUGAAGCUGCUGCUCGCUGCCUGUCCGCUCCACUCUCUCUCUCUCUCUCUCUCUCUCACACACACAUACACACACACACACACACACACACUGGAGACUGGAGGCUGGAAGCAGCGCGGCUCAGGAGAGGAGGAUCUUUCCGCGCAAGCGCGCACACGACGUGCGCACACACAGGAGCGCGCCUGCCCUGCCGCCGACGCGCACCAUGCAUACAGUACACCAUCAUAUAAUCCCGUGUCUACGCAUUAACACUCCUUCAACACGAAGAAGGGAGUACAUGUAGCAGUCGUGGCUUGACUGUUAAAGCUCUGGGUUACUGAUCAGAAGGUCAGGGGUUCAAACCUCCACUGUUGGGCCCUUGAGCAAGGCCCUUGAGCAAGGCCCUUAACCGUCUCUGCUCCAGGUGUGCCGUAUCAUGGCUGACCCUGCGCUCUGACCCCAACUUCCUAACAUUCUGGGGGUGUGCGAAAAAAAUAAUUUCACCCGUGCCGCGUGCUCCAGCGCGUUGCGCGAGAGGAAAUCGUGACAAUAUCUAAUGGAAUGAGUUAUAAAUAAAUAUAAUAAAUAUUCCAAUAUUCUUCUCCACCCUGUUAUUAAUUUAUACAUUUGCUAUAGGAAAUUAAUAUAUAUGUAUAUAGAGUACAUAAUAUAAAUUUAUGUUAAGUGCUUCCACUAUAACGUUUAACCAUCUCAAGGCCCAGUAGGCAAUACAUACAGGGAAUGAUUCAGCCGCAUCCUCUAUCUCCUUCUCAGCUCCACAGUCCUGUCCUUCAAAAAGUCAACCUUCCAUAACAACAGUGUGGAG